CUAGAGACGUUUUUGUUUAUAGAAAUGCUGCAUCUGCCUUCUAAUAGGGAAGAAAUCUCGCUAGGGUAAAGAUAUACUAUUUUACUUCAUCCCUGUCAGAGGCAAACUGCAGGAUUUGCACAGAGCUGAUUUCAUGUAGGAAUGGUCAUUCAUUAUACACAAUCCUGUCUUUAUGGAGCAGGGAUUUGCAAACUGUACCUACAUGUUUCCCUUUCUCAUCCUCCCUUCUUUCUCCUAUCCCCAUCUCCCACAGAGAAUCAAAAGCCUUAUCAGGACCAAGUCUGCAUUUUUAUUUACUUAAAUAAGUCUGUCAUGUCAGUUCAUUUUCAUUUAGGCAGCAGAAGAGUUAACUGCUGGUUGUGUGCGUUUAAAAACACUGUGCACUGGGAUAAGUUAUUAGGAGAAGGGGACUCAUAAAUCCGCCGACUAGAACUAAAUCAAGCAUGUAAAAGGAAUUCUUUAAGCAUAUGAGGACUAUUCUAUGUGAACCUCGGUUUGAGCAUUGUUCCUUUCUUUUGGAUUGCCAAGUAACAUUUACCCGAGACAAAAACUGCAAUUGAUUCGGAUCUGAGCAUUUCCACAUCAGAGAUCCUUACAGUCAAAUGAGUCACUUGUAAAUGAAGGGUCAGAGUCCACCAAUAGACUCUAAAUAUCAAGUGUCAGUCACUUUGCAUGUAAAUUCUCAAAAAAUCACCAAAUGUAGCUUAAUUCUUAAUAAUCCUUUGACAGAGUAAACAAUAAAUGGCAGGCAGAAGCAUUACAGUUCGCUGCGCAAAAUAACAUGCUGAACAAACGCAGCUUUCACUUUCUUCACUGGGCUGAGUUUUAUUGCAGUGUGCAUUGUCUGGCAGAAGUGGUAUGUGUCGUACAGUGCUGAACUGUAUCGUGUGGGACGAUGAGUUAGUUAUUAAAAGCGGAAGUUAAUACUCUCCGAAGGGGAAUGCUUUUUGUGCUUUAGUUCUUUGUUUCUGAGUAUUUCAUAGGGAACAACAGUGCAUUCAGUUUUAAUAACUGGAUGGGCUCAUGAGUUGAGGAAGAGAGGUUACAGAGCCAAGUCUGCUCUAGUUUGUCUGCUCAGGGCUUACUAUUGCACCUUCUGAAAGUUUGGAGCCGCAGGAUACAGAAGAAUUUUGAGCCAGUGUUUAAUAAUGGACUCCACCCUCAUAAACCUUGUUCAGUGCUUUGUUUAUGCUGUCAUUCCCAUUCCCAAACUACUUAUGCUGAGGCCUGCAAGCCCUAACAGGGUAUUGUUAUUUUGAAACAGGACAUACCUGAAAUAAUUCUCCCUGCAAAUUAAAAUUCACAUAACUUUUUUGUUGCCUUUGGUAGUUGUUGUUGAUAGAUGCCAACAUGAUGCUUCAUUCUGGAAAACAAAUGCUGAUUAUUCUUGGUGUUUACGUUAAAAAUGAAAAAAAAAUGUAAUUUAAGCCAGUUUUAAGGGCAAGUGAUUCAGAAAUCAAUGUGGAUGUCAUGUAAAACAGUUCUUUAUGGUUUAGUAGUAAACUAGCCAUCAUGUUGGAUUAAAAAGUGAGUUGAAACUUUUGUUUAACGCAAACUAUGAAGAAAUAUUUCAAUAGCAUAUUUCAGAUUACUAAGCAUUUGCAGCAUUAUGAGUUUUAGGUCCUGUAUGUCUUGAGGAGUUAUGUGGUGGUCACAAACUGUUCUAAAGAAAACUCGUAACACCAGUUUAACCCACCAGUAAAUAGGAAGGGAGGGAAGGUGGAAAGAGUUAAGAUACAAUAUUUCUGAGAAAUAUGGGUGUAGAUAAAGGUAUGGAGUUUAGAAGACACUAAACAAUGAAAGAAAAGAAAACAAGUAUAUGUUUCUGCAUAAUAUAGUGCAGAAAAUGUAUCUUACAGUUAGUCUUUUAAAAAUUCUUUGACAGAUAACCAACGUGGAGGUCUUAAUGCAGAGUGCUUCUAUGAGGUUUUCAGAAAAUCUGUGUUAAUUUAUAACUCACAGUUCUUUUGGCUUUUUGAAUUCUAAUGGAUUCUAAUACACCCAUCAUUUGUAUGCCAAAAUUUACUUUGGAGAUAAGAUGACAUUUUUAUAAAAGACCUUCAUGAAAAUAGACAUUCAGCCACAAAAAACUUUAAUGGAAUGAUGUGGUCAUAUGCAUGACAGAAUUACAUGACUCCAAUCUCUUUAUGUGAUAAAGAAAUGAAUGUUCUAAAUAUAUGGGGCUUGGCUAUUUUGAUGAAUUAUAAUACUGUGCUAUAACCAGCUAAUGUUUCUGUAAUAACUACUUAAGCAUUAAAGAAAUAAAUAUUUCAGGCAUACUGAAAUAUAGGUUCUAAAUUCAGAGGAAACAGAUUAAAUAGUCAUUGAGAUUAAGUGUGUUAUACUGUAAAGUGAAUGGAAUAAAGUAUUUUCAACUGCAACAGGUGGUUUGAGAAUUAUCUAGACUUGGAAUCAUCAUCCGUGUACAAGAAGAUCUGGAGGUGAACUGUAGCUCCAGAACCACUUGUAAAUUCAUUUUUUACUUGUUUUUUUCAGCUUUCCAUCUUCUCUGAGAGCUGUGUUAAACAGUUAUAAGGAUUUGCAGGAUUAUGUUUUCCUUUUCCGAGUAAAUUUAAUUGUUAUGAAUCAUGCAUUGUUUUACUGUACUGCAUAAUCAAGCAUUUUCUUCAAAGCUGAGUAUUGUUGGUGCAGACCUGCUCAUCAUGGAAGUGAUUUUCUGGUGGAAGAAGCUGAGGAAUGACAAAUGCUGUGGCCUGUCCCAUGAAUAUAGCGGUGGGAGUACCAAUCUAGGCUGUUUUGGUGGCAGAUCUGAGUAGGCAUCCAUGCAGACUGUGCAUGUUUCAUGCUACUUAGCAUCCCAGUCUGUGAAUGUGAAGGUUGUCUGGCAAACUAGCAUGUGAGAGUUUGAAAAUUGGUGUACAUUUCUUUGCUUAUUUAGUUCUCCGUGUUAGUUAGCCUCUGCCUGAUGCCCCUCUCCAUGGCAAUUUUGUUAAAUUUGAGUAUUAGGUGCCAAUUAGCCUUAAGUCAUUGUGUGUCAUCAACUAGCGAUGAGGUGCUAAUUGAUAUCCACCAGCAUUAUCAAAUCAGAAUUUGCAAGGUGAUGGCAGAGGUGAAAUAUUUCAACACAGUAACUAACUAAUACUAUUCUGCAGUGACCUCUAUCUCAGUAGUGCUAGGUUACUCUACGUGCAUCUUAAUGGAAUUUUUUUUGGCUCCAUGGCAAUUCAGAACUAUGACCUUCAGCAUGGAGCAUAAGAUGGAAAAUGUUGUCCUAAUAAUAAUUUCCACCCAUAAUUCCUUCUCCCCUACUCAGUUGCCUUCACUUGAUCCUCCAAAUCCUUCUGACAGGAGCAAGAAGCAAAUGUGUUUCUUUGUGUGUGAAAAAGGAUGUGCUUCAGCAGGUUGCAAGAACUGAGAAAUUAGUCUAUCCACUCAUACGACUAGUGGGAAGUAAUACCCAUUAAACAUAAAAAGUUUAUACGUAGGUACUUCAUGAUGUAAAUACUUGUCUUUUGGGGUAUAUGUUUUUUCAGAAGUUCAUAAUAAAGUGAAGGAGUUAUGUGUUGUUUGUUUUUUUCUUUACAAAUAAUUAUAUAUAUAUAUGUAUCGUCUCUAUAUAAGAGACUUAAGAAAAUAAACAAUCAGGUUGUUGAAAAGAUCAAAAGCAGAAAAAGAAUAAUACAUAGUACUUUUGCCUGAACCAGGAAAAGAUAUGACAUGAGACGGUAUCUUCAUGUGUACUGUUAAUCAAAAUAUGCUAAUAUUUUUACAUAAUGUUGCUUAGCACUUUUGAUAGCUCACAAAGUUAGUAAAUGACAAUCACAAUCUUCAGUCUUCUAUCAGAGUAUGUGUGUGAUACUUAAUAAAGUUCUUAAGUCUUAAAUGUAGAUGCUUAUGAAGCUAUUCAAAACAGAAACAGCAAUACUGAUUUUUUUUGAGUUGUAUUUUACUUGGCUAUUCCAGAUAUGUAAAUGCCCAGCCAUAAGAAGACAUUAUUUAUUCUAAGCCUAAUCCUUUUCUUUUAGUAGAUUCAAAAUAAAGAUGCAUUUUCAGUCAUAUAUUUAGAUUUAUCCCACUUUAAGGUAUUUCACAGUCCUAAAUAAAUAACUAAAAUAGUGAAAGGAUUUCCUCUACUUGCCAUGAUUAAAAAAAAAGAAAUGCAAUUAAAGAUGUCUAAUAUUCUUAUGUAUCUUUCUUAGUGUUGUGACUCUGAAGUGUGGCACAUUCCAUCACACUUUCAUUUACUUACCAAGUAUGUUCUCCUGGAUACCCUCUUGUCUGUGUUGUUUUUAAGACUGGAGAUAGGUGAAAGAGUUUUACUUGGUUCCUGUGACAAGAGUGGCACACGAAUCUGUUAUCAUUUAUCUUCUUUAGUGUCCUGAUGGCUAUUUGAUCUUGGAUCACAUUUCUUGUUGUACAUUAUCAUCAGAAUUGUUUAUCAAGUUCCAGGCAAUUAACCUAUGCAAACUCUUCCAAGGCACAAAAGCCUUUGCAACUGAUGGUGAAGGUAAUAAUACUGCAUUGAUACUGCAAAUAUUAAAUUUGUUGGGCAUAACUUCUAUGACUGGUUACAGUCUUGGAAAAUCAAAGAAUUUUUAUUCUCAGAUAGUAGCUUUUAUUCUCAGAUAACUAACACAGGACUGUCAGUUGAGAGUUUGAUUUGUAAUAGAAUAUAUAUGGCAUGAAAAUCAGUAAGUGAUAGUAAACUUGAAAGCAUAUUAUGGCAAUUUGAAUGGUUUCCUUUCGUUGCAGAUUUGUACUUGAUGCUGCAGGGUAUGGGCUAUUCAGUAACAAGGAAAAAUAUAGUAAUGUCCGUUGUGUUCUUGAUUGUUUCUCUGAAUUCUGGAGCAGACAGCUACCUCAAAUAUUCAUUUAAUAUUGAUUGUUUAUCCAUAAGAGUAAAUAUGUAUCCAUUUGUCUUCAUCCCAGAUAAUUUUGUAAUAUGUUGUCUCCUUUCACUUUGAAAGAACUUAAAAACCAUUAUGUAAAAAUGUAAUAAUUAUAGAUAGAAUAAAUGCCCUACAGUAUUGAGCUUGAGAGAAAUAAAAUAUUUAUUAUGUUGGAAAACUAAGUUUGAGCAGUAACAAUAUUAAUUAUAAUAUGAUAAGUAAUAAGAGUAAUAAGUUUUGUGGGUAUUCAGUUUAUCACUUAUCUCUUUUUCCUCUUCUACAUCAGGAAGUUGUUGCAGUAGUGCAGGAAAACAAAAUAUUUAGAGAAAUAAGAAUAGUGAUUAUUAAAUAGCAGUUUUUUAGGACAAUGUUUAGGUAAUUUUGUGAUUCUGGAGGUGAAAAGUGGUAAAGUGGGAGGAAACUAAACUCAGUUUAAUUAUAAUGUGAUCAAAUUUGACAAUUUGAGAACUUAGAAAAAUCACAUCUAAUCUUGAUAAAUUAUUUCAACAGGAACUCACAAUUUCUGUUAAAAUUGUGUGUUUAUAAGUAACUGUAUUCUUUGGCUUGACUGCUAAUUCUGCCAUGUAUUCAGGGGAGGAAUGUGUUUUUUUUUGUUUUUUUUUUUUGGUUGGUUGGUUUUGUUCUGCUCAGGAGGCAAUGAAGAACAGGAAUUAUGCAUGCUGAAUCCUCCUACCCCUAUCCUUAUGCGUAGCUGCUUCCUAGAAUUUGGGUGUGUUUUAAGUUCCCCAGCACCACAGAAAAAGCAUGCUGGGGACUUGUUCUAUGCUAAAGCGUAGGACAGCUUUGUUUUCUUGUGGAAGCAAGGACAGAUGUCAACUGUUGCUUGUCAUUGCAAGCAGUAUAGCUAGCCCAGUGUGCUGUUCAUUAGAUGCUUGUAACAGCAUAAAAUAAUCAUGAAACAUUUUGGGCUUUCCUGAGCACUCAGAAAUGGUGGUUUUCAAAAAAUGCAGAAGGUUACAGAAUAUUCCUUGGAACUUAGUUGCCAUGUGCCCUAGUAGUUAUUUUAACCUGAAACACAGUACUUCAGCUGAAGUAGUAUUGAAAUGUAGUAGUUAACCUGAAACAUAGUUAAUAAUUCAAAGAUAGGAGCUGGGUGCAAUCUGAGGUGUUUCUGGCCUUAGGAGCUCUCUACAAAUCUCUGCAAUAUAGCUGUUGAAUUAAACAGUCAGCACUCAGUCUCCUUAUGCUGGAAGUUUAUAAUGCUGUUAACAUAAAUAUUUAUCUGAAAGGUAGUUAGCAUCCAUGUUGAACAAGUUUCCAAAAUUUAACUGAGGAUGUUGUCGAUAUGCAUAUAUCCGUAACUUUAGUGUCUUGAGGGAGCCAGCAAAAAUAUCAGCCACAAAGCAUUUAGUGUACCAUGGAGGUUAGUUGAUGAGCAGAAAUAUGAAAAACUGGCAAGCUGUAAGGGUUUAGAGUGUAUCAGCCAUCGGUAGAGUAGAUAAUGCUUGAACAAGAUGGUCCCAUUUUUAUAUCCCCAUGAAAUGGUCAUCACAUCAUUUUAUAGGACAUUUUUAUUGUCUACUGGUGCUUCUUACGGUGUUCUGUGGGAAGGGCUUGGGUCACCUACACUGCUCUUAGCAGAGUUCUGUUUUGAAGACCGAAGUAUCAGGUAGCAGACUAAAAACUCCUCAGGAUUUUGAUGUUCUGAAGGCCAUAUGUAAGCAUCUGUAAGUCACUCCAGUUAGCUUGCCUCCUUUUCCAUGUGUCUUUUUCAGUUGUACAGAUACUUCAGUGGAGUAACUACAAAGCUUUUACACACUGAUGUUUCCCAUUCUCUCCCUUCACCAAGCAUCUUUCCCUUGUGCCAUGUGUGGCAGAUGACACCUUUGAGGGUCAUUAUUUCUCAGGAGUUAUUUUUUAUUAUUCCUCCUUUGCCUUUUAUUUGUAUUUCCACACUAAUGUUGUUUGAAGAUUCUCCAUUAGAUUUAAGAGAUGACUCACGAAACUUUCUUCCAUUGACUCCUAUGGUUUUUAUGGAAUUUGUUAACCUAAAGUUCCCCUCUCCCCUCUUUUCCUUGUCUUGUUGAAAUGUCUUUCUCCACAGGAAUCUGGGUAGAAAGAAAUAAUGUAUGAAUGUAUUUUAUUUGGUAGUUUGUGGGAAUAAUAAUAAUAAAGUUAAGUCUGGCUUUGUGUUUUCUUUGUGUUGCAGUUCCAUUAGAAAAACUCCCUAAUUAAUGCUUGUGAAUUUAACAAUAGGUUUUACUUUACUAGUCUAAAAUGUUUUUGGGUAUGCAUUUGUAGCCUGAGGUGAAACCAUAUCAGGUUUAAUGAACCCAGUAACCCUGAGCUAUUUUGGUGGCUGUUGGUUAAACCAGGUAUAUCAGAUUUGAAUAGACCUCAUCUUAGAAAAUAGAGAAAAUUAGACAGUUUCUGAUUGCCAUUAAAAUAAUCUUUCUCUCCUUUCAGUUUCUGUCACUUUAGAAUCUAGAGGAAAACAGUGUGUGGUUGUCUUCUGCCAAAAACGUUCACAUAUAUACCAUGUUUAUCUGAAAUACUGAUCAUCCUUAGUCAUUUUUCCCCUCUAACAAUCAUUUGAAUAGUAGUGGCCAAUAUGUUUUCUGUAGGUUAGGCUAUAUUUAAAAUUAAGUUGCCUUGAGAUAGUGGAUAGUUAUUGGUACUACGUUAUAAGCCGUGUAAGCUUAAUUUUAUACUACAUAGUUUAUCCAUGUCAUUAUCAGUACUAGAAACACAGAGUAACCUUUACUUGUUAUAUAUUGAGCAUAUUGGUUAAAAAUACUUUAAUGAGUACUUCUCUGAUUAGUAGUUGAUGAAUCAAUCCAAUGAUUUUGGGUCAUUUCAUCUGUCUGCUUCAGCUCCUUCAAAAGGAGAUUUAUAAUUUAUUCCAGAAAUAUAAUUAUUAAUCUGAAGUUAGUGCAAUUAAUCUGUAGUCAGCUUUCACAUUUUGAAAAUGAAAAUGUUUGUCAGAGAAUUGUAAGUAUUUUUUGUGAAGAUUCUUAGAUAACAAGUUAUGUUCCUACUAGGCAAAGUAUAUAUUUAACUAGCAUACUGUUUCCUCUGGCAAGCUAUUUUGAUAUUGACAUUAAAUUAGGUUAGCUAAAUUAUACAUUAUGACCAAAGGCAAUAUAACAAAAUACAUGUGGAAUACAUUGAAAUACAUGUUAGUCCAUCAGCUCUGUUGAGAAAUAUGUCAUGGGAGGUAGACAAAUAAUAUUCUGAGUUUUAUUGCUGCUUUCAGAGUUAAUGACCAUAAUAAAGGUAGUAUAGUUUGCUAGCUAUCCAUUAGUUUUGUUUUUAAUAACUUCUUUUUAUUUGCAAAAUGGUCUUCUGCUGAAAGCACAUGCUUUUAAUUGUUCAUCUUCAAUUAGCAUUACUUUUCAGAUUUUUACAAGGGGGUAUAAAGAGUGCUGGUUGAAAAAGUUUGUCUAAAUGAAUUCAGAUAGACGAUUCAAAAUUUGCCAAAAUAGACUCAUGUGAAAAAUACCAGAUCUCAGUUAGAAACUUACAGUUAUUUAUAUCGUUCUUGUCCCACAUAGUUUUGAACUUGGAACGUUUUGGCCUGUUGUGACCGUUACCAGGCUGACUUCCUUGUCUUCAGCCAGAUGGAUUAUUGUUUAGACCAUGGCAUUACAGGUUGAAAGGAUAAAUUACUGAUAGUUGACUUUCUGCUCAAUAUCAGAUGUUACUCCCUCCCAGAUCUUUCCUACAGCAUGGAAUUUAAUUUCUUUGAUCCUGUAAAAGAAAAGUAA